rnacentral:lncRNA from 1 species
AAAAACAAGAUACUAUUCUAGACACGGUCAACAAAAUUUUGGAACGUCUAAGUACCAAAAUUGAGUGUCGAAACUGUAAUUGGGGAGAUAAGGUUGACCAGCCUCGUCUUCUUCCAAAUAAUGUUAGUCGUGCACCUCACACAAAUAAUGAGACUUUUGUCAAUAAUGAUAAUGGGCAACCUUCUUUGGCUAAACCAAAUUUCUCAAUUUCAUAAUUUCAUGUAAAG